GUCGCAUGCCGGGCACGUCGCGUGGGGACAUGUGGGGGGCGAAGCUGUGUCCGGAUUUCUUGGGCGUAAGGCGCGUGUAGGCGGCCAGGCAGGGCCGUUGUGCAACCCGGAGGCUCAACGUCCAGACGUCGAUGGAAACCGCCCGGCUAGAGUCCGGAAGAGGAGAGUGGAAUUCCUGGUGUAGCGGUGAAAUGCGCAGAUAUCAGGAAGAACACCAAUGGCGAAGGCAGCUCUCUGGGACGGUACUGACGCUGAGACGCGAAAGCGUGGGGAGCGAACAGGAUUAGAUACCCAGUAGUC
rnacentral:rRNA from 1 species